rnacentral:rRNA from 1 species
GACGAACGCUGGCGGCGUGCUUAACACAUGCAAGUCGAGCGGAGCGGCGAACGGGUGAGUAACGCGUGAGUAACUGCCCCCCUCUCUGGGAUAACAGUUGGAAACGGCUGCUAAUACCGGAUAGUGGGGGAUGAGUGGCGCCCUAUCAGCUUGUUGGUGGGGUAGUGUCCUACCAAGGCGACGCCGGGUAGCCGGCCUGGGAGGGCGACCGGCCACAAUGGGCUGAGAGACGGACCAGACUCCAACGGGGGGCAGCAGGGGGGAAUAUUGCGCAAUGGGGGAAACCCUAAUGCAGCAACGCCGGGUGCGGGAUGACGGCCUUCGGGUUGUAAACCGCUUUCAGCCAUGACGCGGUAGUGGCAGAAGAAGCACCGGCUAACUACGUGCCAGCAGCCGCGGUAAUAC